AAGUCGUAACAAGGUUUCCGUAGGUGAACCUGCGGAAGGAUCAUUCAUAAUAAAAGUGAAUUUUUUUAUGGCACUUUUAAAACAAUCCAUAUCCACCUUGUGUGCAAUGUUUUUUUUUUAUUAAACUCAUUUUUUUUUAAUAUGUUUUGUCUGAAAAUUUUUUUAUGAAUUUACUUAAUUCUAAAAUAUAACUUUCAACAACGGAUCUCUUGGCUCUC
rnacentral:misc_RNA from 1 species